rnacentral:rRNA from 1 species
UACUGUCCAAGAUACGCCAUGCAUGUCUAAGUAUAAAUAACUUUAUAUGGUGUACCUGCGAAUAGGCUCAUUAAAUCAGUUAUGAUCUACGUGACAAAUUCUUUACUACUUGGAUAACCGUGGUAAUUCUAGAGCUAAUACAUGCAAAAAAGCCCUGACUUACGAAGGGGUGCACUUAUUAGAUAAAACCAACGCGGGGUAAAACCUGUUUCUUGGUGAAUCAUAAUAAUUAAGCGGAUCGCAUGGCCUUGUGCCGGCGACGGUCCACUCGAUUUUCUGCCCUAUCAUGGUUGAGAUUGUAAGAUAGAGGCUUACAAUGCCUACAACGGGUAACGGGGAAUUAGGGUUCGAUUCCGGGAGGGAGCCUGAGAAACGGCUACCACACAAGGAAGGCAGCAGGCGCGCAAAUUACCCAAUCCCGACACGGGGAGGUAGUGACAAUACAUAACAAUGCAGGGUGCCUUUAAGGUCUUGCAAUUGGAAUGAGUACAAUUUAAAUCCCUUAACGAGGAUCAAUUGGAGGGCAAGUCUGGUGCCAGCAGCCGCGGUAAUUCCAGCUCCAAUAGCGUAUAUUAAAGUUGUUGCAGUUAAAACGUCCGUAGUCAAACUUUAGUCUUACCGGCGUAGUGGCCUGGUCUUCAUUGACCAAGCUCAUUGCUGCCGGAGACUCCACGUCCAUUGACUCCUAGUCCUCGUGGCUAGGGUUUUCUGGACAAUUACCAUGAGCAAAUCAGAGUGUUUAAAGCAGGCUUUUAAGCUUGAAUGUGUUAGCAUGGAAUAAUGAAAUAUGACUUUAGUCCUAUUUUCGUUGGUUUAGGUACUUCAGUAAUGAUGAAUAGAAACGGUUAGGGGCAUUUGUAUUUGGUCGCUAGAGGUGAAAUUCUUGGAUUGACCGAAGACAAACUACUGCGAAAGCAUUUGACCCGGGACGUUUUCAUUGAUCAAGGUCUAAAGUUAAGGGAUCGAAGACGAUUAGAUACCGUCGUAGUCUUAACCACAAACUAUGCCGACUAGAGAUUGGGCGCGUUUAUGAUGACUCGCUCAGCAUCUUAGCGAAAGUAAAGUUUUUGCGUUCUGGGGGGAGUAUGGGACGCAAGGCUGAAACUUAAAGGAAUUGACGGAAGGGCACCACCAGGAGUGGAGCCUGCGCUUUAAUUUGACUCACCACGGGGAAACUCACCAGGUCCAGACAUAGUUAGGAUUGACAGAUUGAAAGCUCUUUCUAGAUUCUAUGGGGGGGGUGCAUGGCCGUUCUUA